rnacentral:rRNA from 1 species
GACAGAGGAUGCAAGCGUUAUCCGGAAUUAUUGGGCGUAAAGCGCGCGCAGGCGGUUUCUUAAGUCUGAUGUGAAAGCCCACGGCUCAACCGUGGAGGGUCAUUGGAAACUGGGGAACUUGAGUGCAGAAGAGAAAAGCGGAAUUCCACGUGUAGCGGUGAAAUGCGUAGAGAUGUGGAGGAACACCAGUGGCGAAGGCGGCUUUUUGGUCUGUAACUGACGCUGAGGCGCGAAAGCGUGGGGAGCAAACAGG